AAUGCUUUAUGCGUCAAAAGGAUUCGCCUGCCCAAGGAUGGGUCUGCGGCCUAUCAGGUAGUAGUGGGUGUAAUGUACCUACUAGCCAGCGACGGGUACGGGUUGUGAGAGCAAGAGCCCGGAGAUGGAUUCUGAGACAUGAAUCCAGGCCCUACGGGGCGCAGCAGGCGCGAAAACCUUACAAUGCGGGAAACCGUGAUAAGGGGACACCGAGUGCCAGCAUCAUAUGCUGGCUGUCCGGAUGUGUAAAAUACAUCCGUUAGCAAGGGCCGGGCAAGACCGGUGCCAGCCGCCGCGGUAACACCGGCGGCCCGAGUGGUGAUCGUGAUUAUUGGGUCUAAAGGGUCCGUAGCCGGUUUGGUCAGUCCUCCGGGAAAUCUGAUAGCUCAACUAUUAGGCUUUCGGGGGAUACUGCCAGACUUGGAACCGGGAGAGGUAAGAGGUACUACAGGGGUAGGAGUGAAAUCUUGUAAUCCCUGUGGGACCACCUGUGGCGAAGGCGUCUUACCAGAACGGGUUCGACGGGUGAGGGACGAAAGCUGGGGGCACGAACCGGAUUAANAUACCCGGGGUAGUCCCAGCCCGUAAACNAUGCUCGCU
rnacentral:rRNA from 1 species